rnacentral:lncRNA from 1 species
AUUUAUAUAAAGAACAGUACAUAUAUGAAAUAUGUUUAAAACAAUGAACAUUUUAUAAAGUACAGGACUUCAAACAAAAUAAAAGUUCUAUAUAGUGUAAAAAAAAAAAAGUAAAUCAGUAAAUAAUAUAUAAUAUGUAUGUAUAUAUAUAUAUAUAUAUAUAUUCAUAUACAUAUACAUAGAAAAUAGGAAAAGUUGCAUAGGUAAUAGAAAAAGAUGUAUAAUUUUUUUUUUUUAUUCUUAAACUUAUUGUAAGCAAUAAUAAAUUACUAUAAUACUACAUAUUUCUAUUUAUUUGUUUUUAAAAAAUUAGUAUGUUUUUCACUUUUUUUUUAUGAAUUAUAUCACCAUAUUUGUUUAUUUUUACAUAGCUCCUAUAUAUUACAUACAUAUAUAUAUAUAUAUAUAUAUAUAUAUAUAUAUAUAUAUUUGUUCAUAUUAUUUGCAUUUUAUACUACUUUUUAAAUAUUUUUUUAUUUGUUUAAAAAAAUUCACAUGUCUUAAUUUUAACUAUUUGUUGCUUACAUGUUAAGUUUUAUUUAUACAUAAUAUGCACAUACAUAUAUAUUUAAAAAAAAAAACAUAUUGUUACACUUUUUUUUUUAAAUAUAUAAUAAAUACAAAUUUGGCUAGUUUUCAUGUUUUAAUAAUAUUGGUUCUAUUCAUAUUUUUGUCAUUUUUACCGUUUUUACCACUUUGUGACUUGUUAAAUAUGAAACUAAUAGCAAUAGUUUUAACACGGCAAUCUGAUGAUGUUGUUUUUCUUUGUUCGGCGACAAAUUUAAAUUCAUAUUCUUAUAUAAAAAAAAAGGCAUUAAAAGAAGCUAUGUUUUUUAUUGCUAGAACUGUUCCUUCAAGGGUUUGAAAAAACAACUUAAUUUAUUUUGUAUUUUGCUCUUUUUUUUUUUUUUUUUUUUUUUUUUUUCUCAUUCAUCUUAUUACUAUUACUACUGUUAUUAUAAUUACAACUAUUAUGUACGUUGUCACUAGUAUUACACAUAUUAAGCAUUAGUACUAUUAUUAUUAUUUUACUUUAUUUAUUUCUUUUUUUUUUUUUUUUUUUUUUUUUUUUUUUUUUUUUUUUUUUUUUUACUUUUUCGCUCUAAUUAGAUAGAAUAUAACAGAAAAGAAAUAAUAACACACGAAAGUAAUGCAGUUUUUGCAUUUAAAUAUCCUGAUAACAUAUGUCCGGUUGUUAUAGCAACUGAUGAUUAUCCUGAACGGUAUUUUUAUUUUAUGUAUUUUCAUUAUGUUUAUUACCUAACAUUUUUUUCAUUUUGUUUAUUACUUACCAUUUUUUUUUUUUUUUUUUUUUUUUAGGGUAGCUUUUUAUAUGAUUAAUGAAAUAUACAUGAAUUUCACGCGUACUAUACCUAAGAACGAAUGGUCAGAAAUAACACAGGAUAAUAAAAUAAGUUAUAAUUUAAAUUCGUUUUUGGAA